GACGAACGCUGGCGGCGCGCCUAACACAUGCAAGUCGAACGAGAGAGAAGGAGCUUGCUUCUUUAAUCGAGUGGCGAACGGGUGAGUAACGCGUGAGGAACCUGCCUCAAAGAGGGGGACAACAGUUGGAAACGACUGCUAAUACCGCAUAAGCCCACGGGUCGGCAUCGACCAGAGGGAAAAGGAGUGAUCCGCUUUGAGAUGGCCUCGCGUCCGAUUAGCUGGUUGGUGAGGUAACGGCCCACCAAGGCGACGAUCGGUAGCCGGACUGAGAGGUUGAACGGCCACAUUGGGACUGAGACACGGCCCAGACUCCUACGGGAGGCAGCAGUGGGGAAUAUUGCACAAUGGGGGAAACCCUGAUGCAGCGACGCCGCGUGGAGGAAGAAGGUUUUCGGAUUGUAAACUCCUGUUGUUGAGGAAGAUAAUGACGGUACUCAACAAGGAAGUGACGGC
rnacentral:rRNA from 1 species